ACAAUGAUGAGAGAGCUGAAGGCAGAUGCAUACUUGAACCCCCAGAUGGGGGCUAUGUGGGAGACUAAUGGGUCUGUGAGAGAGAACUCCAGUCCCAGUAAGAAGUACACCACAUAAAUAGAGUAUCUCGGCCUGAGGGCACUCACAGGCACUUCCAGACCUUCUGAUACGAUGAAGCAACUGGAACGCCAGAGGCUAUCAGCCUACUUCAGAAAUUAUGCUAUCAGUGAUUGAGGCCAGAGAUCCACCCAAAAGAGUAGAUCUUGGAAAUAUUGAUGUUAGAGCAGUUCCUGACCAUUUUGCACAAGGAUACCCAGAACUGGGUGCAGAAGCAUCAUCCACAGAAUGUCAAAACAGGCUCUGGUCUUGGUGAAACGCUUGCAGAGAGAACCUGGUCAAACAAAGAAUAAGGUCACAGCCCAUGAGCUGGGAGAGAAGGCAGUGCUCCUGGGAGGAACAGCAGUGACCCCAGACUUCAAGUAUAAACCAGCGGAGCCCUAACCAAAGCGAGUGUUCCAGAAGGAAUGUUGGAAUAUAUACUGGGUACUACAAGAACAGCUAGGCUGGAAUACUCACAAAGAAACCCAGCCUGUAUAUGAAAGAGUCUUGUAUGCUCAACAGGUUUUAGCCUGUGCUGAGCAGAAAAGCACCAAAGACUGGAAGAUGGCAUCUCAGCUCAUCCUGCCUGAGUCCCAGAGUUUGCUGACAUUUGAAGAAGUGGUUGUGUAUUUUUCUGAGGAAGAAUGUCAAUUAUUGCAUCCUCCUGAGAAGACUUUAUGAUGUUGUAAUGCAGAGUAUCUGUGAAGCUGUCAUCUCUCUAGGGUUAAAGCUAAAAUAUGACACUGGAAAUGAUCAUCCUGUAUCGGUUUCUGCAUCAGAAAUACAAAUGCUAGGAUGCAAAAUAUCAAAACAGACCAGAAUGAAAUUGUCCAGAAAACAACAGGCAGGGAAAAUCAUGGUGAUAUACACAAGGUACAGAAACAGCACUGAGCUUUUCCAAGGAAGUAAAGAAACUUGCCACUUGUAAACAAGAGCUUCCAAAACUUAUGUGUCUUCAUGGGAAACACCACACAGGAGAGAAACCUUUUAAAUGUCAGGAAUGUGGGAAAAGCUUCAGUUAGCUCUGAUCUUAUUAAGUACCAGAGAAUUCACACUAAACAGAAGACCUAUAAGCGUCACCAAUGUGACACAAGGUUUAGAUGGAGUUCAGAUCUUAAUACGCACUACAUGACACAUCAAAGAGUAAAACCAUAUAGAUGCUCAUGGUGCGGGAAAUGCUUUAGUCAUGACACAAAUCUACACACAUACCAAAUAAUUCAUAUGGGAGAGAAGUCCUUUAAAUGUCAUGAAUGUGGAAAAAGAUUCAUUCAGAACUUCCACCUUAUUAAACACCAGAGAACCCACACAGGUGAACUGCCUUAUACUUGUAUCAUAUGCAGAAGAAACUUUAGUAGGUGGUUGAACCGUCUUAGACACCAGAAAAGCCACAGAAGAAGGAAGGCAUGUUUAAUGUCGCUAAACUGA
rnacentral:lncRNA from 1 species